UUUUUUUUUUUUUUUUUUUGAGAACUGGGUAAUAAAAAACCAUCGGUAAUUCUUAUUAUGAUAAAUGUAGGUUAGGUGAAUACAGAAGGCAAACUACUGUUACAUCAACAGAGAUAUGGAGCCUUACAUUAGCUUAUGGUUUUCUUUCUAUUCUUUUCAGAAAGUUCCUUUUUAUAAGCUUUACUGCACGGGCUCUAGUGAUCCUAAGUAAGCAAAAAUAGGCAUUUAAUUUGGGUCUUAGAAUAUCUUACUAGCAUAAAAAUUUCAAAACAAAUAUAUAGACUACUAGGUGUAGUAGAGAUAAAUUGUCUUUAUAGGUCAGUGCCUUUAAUCCCAGCACUUGAGAGCAGAGGCAGGUGGAUCUUUUGAGUUCAGGACUUCCAGGGCUACAGUGUGAAACCUUUUCUUUAAAAAGAAAACCAACCAACUAAAGAUUGGUACUAUAUGUGAGUAGUAAUAGGGAGGGGAGUAGCUUAUUUUCUUUUGCUUGUUUUACAAUAAUGGGUUGAACCUAGGUACUCUAUUACCAACCUAUAUAUUGAUACCUCAGGAAAAAAUUUAAUUUAGUAAGAUGUUAUUCAAACACAUAGCAACAUUUUGUUGUUGUUAAGCGAACUGUAGUUACUUUUUUUUUUAAUUUGAAAUUUUGUGAGGUAACCAUAACUCUUUGCUGUUAGUGAGUUAGGCAGUAAAUUGGCUUAUAAGAUAUUCUCUGGAGAAAGAAGUUCUGAAUUAAAUGUAAGCUAUAUGCAGGGAUGGUGGCACAUGCCUUUAAUCUCAGCACUCAGGAGGCAGGCAGAUUUCUGAGGUCAUGGUCUACAGAGUACAUUUUAGGAUAGCUUUGGCUAUACAGAGGAACCCUGCCUUGAAAAGAAACAAAGUUAACAUCUGUAUAACUUAAAUUGGCAGUCAGUUUGUAAUGCAUGUUGAACAUUUUUUUUUUAAGAUUUAUUUAUUUAUUAAUUAUAUGUAAGUACACUGUAGCUGUCUUCAGACACUCCAGAAGAGGGCGUCAGAUCUCGUUACAGAUGGUUGUGAGCCACCAUGUGGUUGCUGGGACCUUUGGAAGAGCAGUCAGUGCUCUUACCUGAUGAGCCAUCUCUCCAGCCCCCCAUGUUGAACAUUCUUAAUCCCAAUACCUGUAUUUUAAAUUAUGAUAUCAGC
rnacentral:lncRNA from 1 species